rnacentral:rRNA from 1 species
UACAGAGGGUGCAAGCGUUGUUCGGAAUCAUUGGGCGUAAAGGGCGUGUAGGCGGUUUGUUAAGUCAUGUGUGAAAUCCCCCGGCUUAACCGGGGAACUGCGUCUGAUACUGGAUGGCUAGAGAUUGGGAGAGGGAUGCGGAAUUCCAGGUGUAGCGGUGAAAUGCGUAGAUAUCUGGAGGAACACCGGUGGCGAAGGCGGCAUCCUGGACCAACACUGACGCUGAGGAGCGAAAGCCAGGGGAGCAAACGGG